rnacentral:rRNA from 1 species
UGCGUAGGCGGCUUGGUAAGUCAGAUGUGAAAUCCUGGGGCUCAACCUCGGAACUGCAUUUGAUACUGCCAGGCUAGAGUACUGGAGAGUAGACUGGAAUUUACGGUGUAGCAGUGAAAUGCGUAGAUAUCGUAAGGAAGGCCAGUGGCGAAGGCGAGUCUCUGGACAGUAACUGACGCUGAGGCACGAAGGCUAGGGGAGCAAACG